GAUUGUCAGGAGGCGGGGCUUGUCUGGAUACGGGUGCGGAAAAAAGCCUACCGCCUUGAGGACAGUGCUGGAGAGCACCUGCAGUCCGUGUUUGAAAGGGGCUACAGCGCUUUCUACAGCCGUCCAAGCACACAGCCCCUCUGAGAGGAAAGCCUGGACUCACGCGAUCUGAGAACUCGGCUCCUGGACUGCAGCAGGAGCAGUUGAAGGUGACCUGUGGCUGGGCCAGGGGCUGCAACACAGGACAUGGGAGCUGCCUCUGACUCCCGCUCGUGUCUUGUGUUGCAGCCAGUGGAACUGCUGCGCUGUGCACAUCAGGAGGACAAAAAACACCAUGAAGCUCCGGCACUUCUCUCCAGACGGCCUUAAUGUACAGCCCUCUUUUAGCACAGAAAGCCUGUACCUGAAUAAAAGAAAUACAAAUCUGCAAAGCUUGUUAAGUUCUUUUGCUGUGUCACAGGAGGUGACAGCAAAUGUGUUCCACCUUGAGCCGAAAUACAACUUUUCGCUCCUCUAACAGAAGCAAACAUUGUCGCAGAGCAACAGAGUGAGACAAGGUCAACAGUAAUGCACCUGUGUGUGUGUGUGUGUGUGUGUGUUUGCUGCCUGUCUCCCCCCUUAUUAAUGGUGCUUUAUCUCCCUCAAGGUUAGGGAUGAAUAGCACAGAUGAAGAAGCACAAGAUUGCCUUUUCUGCACUCGCACAGACCUUCGCAUACACACACACACACAGAGUGGCCUCCGACGAGCCAUUUGCUGCCAGGUGUAAAUAUUCAGAUCAUGUUGCUGCCGUGCCAGCUGAGAGUUGCUGUGCUGAGGGGAACGGGUUUAGGGUGGUGGGCAUAAUUGAAAGUUGCGAAAUGAAGUCAUUUUGUGUCAGGGUUUCGCUUGAUUGGAAUUCAAACCUAAGAGCGAAUCCAGGAGGUCGGGGCUGUUCUCAGUGGCAGCUGAAUUGUUUGUGUUGAAGGAAUUGCAGGCCGUGUUUUGAAUGCGGUAUAAUGGCAGCGUCUAUGCUUUUCAGGCUAAUGGCAAUUGAGAACAUUGAGGCCUUUUUUAUCACAGUGUGACAACGCACAGGUUGAUCUCCUACCAAGCAACACCCAAAUACAGUAACGCGUGGGAUGACCAUAUGCUGUGGGAAAAAAAAUAGGUGUAAAAGGAAUCCAAGUGUAAAACCCUUUCAGACUGUGCAUAUGUUGCAAGUUUGUCCUAUUUAUUUUAUGUUAGAAAGACCACAAAGAAACAACCGCAAAACAACUUCACAAGCUUCACAAGGCACAUCAGAUGAACACUCAUGACAGAUGCCAAAGGCUUGGCAUCAGUCAAGUACCUCGCUUCUGCUCACUUUGUUGAUGCCUUUAUGUGAAAUUCUGCUGAGAGACUUCUUACUUCUUGCCAUCAAACGUUUCAUCGUAACUCUGUAAAGCUCUUACAGCACCAGCCAGUCGUCAGGACACUUAUUAGCUCCCUCCAAUAGGUAAUGAGUGUCUUGCUCAGCCUUGUCAUCACUUGUCUCUGGCUUAACCUUGUAACAUGGAGCUGCGGCUGGAUUACUGGAUGUUCUGAUUGGUGGACUCGGUUAUUGGCUGGCUGCCAUGCCCUUUAAACGGAGACUUAACCGGAGUCUGUCACCGCAUUACAUCAAAUGCUUGCCCGAGUGCUGAGCUGAAUGCGGAGAGGAAGCUCACUGUCUUCUCUCAGCACAUCCAUUCAUCAAGUUCUUUAUCAGCAAUAUUCUUCUGUAUUCAUUUACACACACAUGGUCAGCUUGCAAUUUGUGCUGCGGAGAAAAGUGCUUCCUCUCUCCAUUGCCUAUUAUAACCUUGCUUUAGCACCCCCUCAGUGCAAAGGCCUCUCCACACCUGAGAAGGCUUUCCAAGGACUCACGGCUUCGACAGCGACUCAAUAUACACUCACUCCCUGGAGGAUGAGGGAAAAAAAGUGGCCCCCUUUUCAGAAAUGUGACAAAGUGCGCAGAGAGAGCUAAAUAUGAUUUAUUAAAGGAACACUCCAGCAUUUUACAGCCUAAUCUCUGUCUGCUGCAUGUGUAAUCUCUGGGCAAUUAUUAAACUGCAUUUUGACUCAAAAUACACUCAUCCAGUGAUGCACAUAUACUGUAUCUGUAUCGGUGCUGAUACUGGCACAGUAUUGAUAUCAGCAAUAGAGAAGACUGAUAUCAUGAAACAAUUUCAUUAGCAUGUACACUACUGAGUAAUGCAUACAUGCGUUCUGGUAGGUGGACCUGGGGCCAGAUUCAAAAAAGCUUUCCUAAGAACAAAACUUAGGAAGAAUCUUAAGACAAACACUAAGAGGUUUUCAAGAAUGUUCUUAAAUACAAUUCUUGUAAAAACUUCUCAAAUAUUCUCUAAAAAGUCUGUAAUUGUUUUCUCUUUUUGACACUUAAGUGUUUUUCCAAAGAUUUUUCCAAAAAUAUGUAAAUAUAUACAAUAAAGGAAUGCCACAAUCAGAAAAACAUCAGCAGGGACAAAAGGCUACCUGUGGUUAAAAGCUCUUAUCAAAUGAAUGUAUUUAAAGGUGUAGUAUCCUUGCAUUCAUGUCCCAUUUAUCCCUGUGUGUUUGUAUGGUGUCUCAUGUCAUCCAUUUUCCUUCACUCAAAACUGGUGAGUCUUUUUCUAGUUCUAAUUUUCUAGUUUCUCAUUUUUUCUAGUAUAUACAUUUGUCUUGCCCCCUCUGUUAUACCAAUUUCAUGUUAUUGCUUUUUUUGCUGGCUAUCAGAAGUAUUCGUGUUAAAUAUUUCAUUACCCAUCACAUGAUCAUUUAUAUCUCCAUAGUACAUAACUUUGCAUUCUUUGGGAACUGAACAGCCCAAAAUGUCUUUAACCUCGUCAAAUACACUUUCUCAUAAAGAGUACAGUUUAUUACAUUUCCAAAAGAUGUGUGUGAUUGGCCUCUUCAAUCCCACACAUCCUCCAACAUGGCUGUUCAUAAUCAGUUUGUUCACUCCUAUUUCAGGUGUUAUAAAACAGCUAAAUAUAUGUUAUAAUAUUAUAUGUUAUAAAAUAGUCACAUUUUUUCAUCCAAAUUCUUUCCAUAUCCUUGUGGUUGUGUGUUGUGUUCCAUACCUUUUAGUCCCAUCUUCCUCUGUGAUAUCAAUACUUAACUUUCUCUCAUUUAGCUUUAAUGUCCAGAGUGGAGGACACUUGACAUUCCCUCAGGCUGCAGUAAAGCAGGGACGUCACCUUAAAUUUUGCCCGUCUUCACUACAGCAUCUACUCCUGCACCUAAAGGCUUGAAAAAACUCAUCACAUUUCCAAUCCUGACUGUUCUACAUGCUUCGGUGAUCCCUAUUGUUCCCCCAUUUUCUGGGUAAUUGUUUUCAUAGUAGGUUAUAGCUUAUGUUGUCAUGUAGGUUAGGUUGUCAUGUAGACUGUUAAUAUCAUUUUGCAGGUUACUGGUUUGAUUUUUUUUUUUCGUUUUAACAAUUAUAUUUUAUGACACACAUUAGAAGUUACCAUUUGUACAAUUUGAGUAUGAGAUGGUUGUGAGGGUAAGAAAAUAUUUAAGAGCAUAUUGUUUAUGAGAAUACCAUGUUCUUAUAAUACAUGAGAGAAAAGUUAAGAGAUUUUUUGAGGAACGAUCAUUCUUUCCUAAGUAUGUAGGAAAAAGAUUUUGUUUCUUAAGACACUUUUGCCUUGAAUCCAAGCCUUGAACUGAAGCAAGCAUCAUAUCUGCGAUGUUGAACUAGUUCACACUUGAGACCAGAGAAGCAACAACAGCCCAGUCAUGACGCAGUAGACCACACAAUCUCACACACAAGUGCUGAAGCCACUGGAGUUUGAAUCUAUUUUAAGUAUAUUUUUUGGAGUGAUGAAUCUAACAGAUGGACAAAUCUAAAUAUAUAUAAGUCUGAUGGAUGAAUCUGGGUUUGGCAGAAGCUAGGGGAAUGCUACCUACUGGAAUGCAUAAUGCCAACAGUAAAGUUUGGUAGAGGAGGGAUAAUGGUAUGGGGCUGUUUUUCAGGGUCUGAGCUUGCCCCCUUAGUUCUAGAGAAAAUUACUACAGCAUACAAAGAAAAUAAAGAAUUAUAUGAUUCCAAUUUUGUGGCAACAUUUGGGGAAGGUGCCCUUUCUUGUUCCAACAACAUGCCCCUCUGCACAAAGUGAGCUCUAAGACAUGGUUUGACAAGUUUGGUGUGAAGGAUCUCGAGUACCUUUGGGAGAAGUUUGAAUAUUGAUUGUGAGUCAGGCCUUCUCGUUCAGCAUCAGAGCCAGCCUCACAAAUACUCUUUAGAAUGAAUGGGGACAAAUUCCAACAGCCACACUCCAAAAUCCUAUGGAAAGCUUUCCCAGAAGACUGGAGGCUGGGGACCAACUCUGUAUUAAUGCACAUGGUUUUGGAAAAGGAUGUUCAGCAAGCUCAUAUAGGUGUAAUGAUCAGGUGUCCACAUACUUUUGGCCAUAUACAUAUGAAUAGAAUUCUAUGAGUAAUUGUAUAAAUAUUAGGUUAAUAUAGGAUAGUUUCCAUAUUGGUAUUCAGUGUAAGCGGAUACUUAAUGAUCAGGUGUUAGUAUUGGUAUCAGUAUCAGAAAGGAAACAGUGGUAUCAGUCCAUUCCUAAUUUUAACAUAAGCCAGAGGGCAGAUGCUGAAGCUGAAGCCUCUGCCCAUUGGCUUUUACUAUAAGUAUGUCUUAAUUCAGUGAUUUUGGUUGUCCAUUGUAAUCGAUUACAUGGUACAUGUCACAGCAGAUUGAGAUUAGGUUGAAAAAAGAGUUCAAAUAGAAUAUCAUUCUGCUAUUACUCAGUGACAGAUAUGAUCCACAGUGUUAAGACUGUCAAGCCUAUCAAGGGCUAUGCUGCCUGUGUAGCACAGCAGAUGGGGAACAAAAUUACAGAACUAUGACAGAGAAGGAUUUAGGGGUCAGAGUGACUUUGAGGACAUUUGAGGACAUUGUGGUGUACGGUGGCAGAGGUCCAGUAAAGGCAGUGAGGCAUAGCAUGGAGGACGCAGACAGAUGUAGUUUUAGCCAUGCCCCGCAGGCCAAGCUGGAGUGGCAGCCUGAGUGUGAUAAGGUACACGUCACCAUCUGCUCUGCUCUGUGGGCCUAGGGCUGCAAGCAGGGGAAAAAAUGGGUAAAAUAUUUUAAAGAGACAUUGCACUAUUCCAUCACCCUAUCAGUAAUGUAACUAGGACCCUGUGGACCCCAGCACAAAAAAUAAAAUAAAAAAAUAUGGGCCCUCCUUGUGACAGUGUAAUUUAUUUUGAUAAAGUAAUUUAUAUUUACGCGCUUUUGUUAUCAUUUUGCUAUCAUUGAUUUUUUAUUAUUCAGUAACUACAGGGGCAAUGCAAACUGGCUUGGCUAUUCUAAUGUUAUAAAAGUGUGUAAAAUUUUUGGUGGGCUGCCAGUGGGCCCUGGACAUUUAAGGGUUAACAUUACCAUUGACUGAAACUAAGGAGCUGAACCCUAGACUAGACUAUUAUCCCUCCUGGACCAAACUUUGCUGUUGGCAUUAUGCUUUCCUGUUGGUAAUGUUCUCCUGGCAUUCACCCAAACCAGGUUAAUCAAUGAGACUGCCAGAUGGUGAAGCAUGAUUAAUCAUUCCAGAGAACAUGUUUCCUCUGCUCCAGAGUCCAGUGGCAGCAUGCUUUACACCACUGUAGCUGACGCUUGGCACUGCACAGAGUGAUCUUAGGUUUGUGUGCAGGUGUUAGGCCCAUGGAAACCCAUUUCAUGAAUCAUUGUUCUUGUGUUUGUGUUGCAUCCAGAGGCAGUUUGGAACUCUCUAGUGAGUGAUGGAACUAUUGUUGUUCCUAGAUAUUUCCCUUUUACAAUAUUUGCACUUACAGUUAAGCGGGACAGAUAUAGCAGAUCGAAUAGGUAGAAUUUUCAGUGGCAAAGCUGGCAUCCCAUAACAGUGACACAUUUAAUGUCAGUAAGUUCUUCAGUACAACUCUACUGUUAGUGUGUCUAUGAUUUCAUGAUUAUAUGCUUAAUUUUAUACACCUGUUAGCAAUGGGUCUGGCUGAAACACCUAGUUUCUAAUGAUCUAGUUUCCAUGGCUUACUAAGUCGUGGCCAUGACUUAAUUAUGGUGGCUACACAUUAUUUUUAUUCAUAUGGGAUAUCACUAGCAGGGUUCCAUAAUGUAGACAGUAAAGAAUGUUACUUUGUCUUACAAGCUUAAAGUUUGUGUUUAAGCUAAACCUUGUGUGAGAAAAUGAAAAUACUCUACAACUAAGCUGACACAAUACAGAUAAUAAGGGUGCAAAUUAGCAUUAUUGUAAUGGUGGAUAAAAAGGCUACUUAGAAGUAAAUGUUACAUUAAAGAGUGAAAUAAAAUUGUGUUAAGGAAA